UCCUUGUAGCAAUCCGAUGGAAGUUUUAGUGGCGAACGGGUGCGUAACACGUGGGCAAUCUGCCUUAAAGUGUGGGAUAGCUCGGCGAAAGCCGGAUUAAUACCGCAUGUGGCUACUGGAGACAUCUUCGGGACGCUAAAGGUGGCGCAAGCUACCGCUUUUUGAGGAGCCCGCGGCCUAUCAGCUUGUUGGUGAGGUAACGGCUCACCAAGGCGUUGACGGGUAGCUGGUCUGAGAGGACGACCAGCCACACUGGGACUGAGACACGGCCCAGACACCUACGGGUGGCAGCAGUCGAGAAUUUUUGACAAUGGGGGAAACCCUGAUCGAGCGACGCCGCGUGGAGGAUGAAGGUCUUCGGGUUGUAAACUCCUGUCAUUUGGGAACAAGGCGCGGCUAUUAACUGUAGUCGCGUUGAUAGUACCAGAAGAGGAAGAGACGGCUAACUCUGUGCCAGCAGCCGCGGUAAUACAGAGGUCUCAAGCGUUGUUCGGAUUCAUUGGGCGUAAAGGGUGUGUAGGUGGCGCGCUAAGUCGGGUGUGAAAUUUCGGAGCUUAACUCCGAAACUGCAUUCGAUACUGGCGUGCUUGAGGACUGGAGAGGAGACUGGAAUUCUCGGUGUAGCA
rnacentral:rRNA from 1 species